CCCGCGGGCCAAUCGUUUAAUUAGCCAUGCAGCACCUGUGCUAGCCCCUUACGGACACGGGCUUUCACCCGCUUUAACUAGCAUGUCAAACCCAGGUAAGGUUCUUCGCGUUGCAUCGAAUUAAGCCACAUGCUCCGCCGCUUGUGCGGGCCCCCGUCAAUUCCUUUGAGUUUUAGCCUUGCGGCCGUACUCCCCAGGCGGAGUGCUUAAUGCGUUAGCUGCGGCACAGAGCGGGUUGAAGACCGCCCCACACCUAGCACUCAACGUUUACGGCUGGGACUAC
rnacentral:misc_RNA from 1 species